rnacentral:ribozyme from 1 species
GUACGUACAGUCCCCACCGAAAAGCAUCUUAGAGAGCAAUAUUGCAUCUCCGAUAAGGAAGCAUUGCAAUUGGCAAAAUGGGGUGUGGUCAUCGAAAAUCAUUAUUCGAAAAAGCGCAACACGUACACGCCAAUGGAUAUUGAAUGGGC